rnacentral:lncRNA from 1 species
UCUUGUUCCUAGCAAGGAUCAUCACAACUCAUCCUUGCCACUAUCACCUUCAAUCUUCUCAUCAGCUUUCUUGGUCGAGAUCACGGCAUCAGGCGUCGCUGGUUUCUCAAGUUUAAAUGGGAUUGAUGCAUGCUUCUUCAGGAAUUUGUACAGUUCCACUACUGUUCGGUCUACAUCCACAGUGAUCUGUUUUUUUUUUUUUUUUUUAUGAGCAACAAUUUUAACAACUUCAGUACUCAAAAGUAACAUAAGAAAAAAAAAAUUUGCAGGUUUUGGAAACACUGUUUGAUAUAGUGAACAAGCUUUGCUUACCGGAUCGAAGCUCUUGUUUCCACCAGGGAAGAACAGGAUUGUUGGGAACCCAUCAGCC